rnacentral:rRNA from 1 species
GACGAACGCUGGCGGCGCGCUUAACACAUGCAAGUCGAGCGAAGCGGCGGACGGGUGAGUAACACGUGAGUAACCUGCCUUAGACAUUGGGAUAGCCUCGGGUAACCGGGAUUAAUACCAAAUGGUCUAAGAUGGACUAGCGUCCCAUUAGCUAGUUGGUGCGGUAACGGCCCACCAAGGCGACGAUGGGUAGCCGGCCGGAGAGAGUGGCGGGCCACAUUGGAACUGGGAAUCGGUCCAGAAUCUACGGGAGGCAGCAGUGGGGAAUAUUGCACAAUGGAGGGAACUCUGAUGCAGCGAGGCCGCGUGAACGAAGAAGGCUUUCGAGUCGGAAAGUUCUUUUAUAUGGGAAGCGGUACCAGAAGAAAAAGCCCCGGCUAACUACGUGCCAGCAGCCGCGGUAAUUC